GUGGGGAAUAUUGGGCAAUGGGGGAAACCCUGACCCAGCAACGCCGCGUGAGGGAAGAAGGUUUUCGGAUUGUAAACCUCUGUCCUUGGUGACGAAGGAAGUGACGGUAGCCAAGGAGGAAGCCCCGGCUAACUACGUGCCAGCAGCCGCGGUAAUACGUAGGGGGCAAGCGUUGUCCGGAAUGACUGGGCGUAAAGGGCGUGUAGGCGGCCGAUUAAGUCUGGAGUGAAAGUCCUGCUUUCAAGGUGGGAAUUGCUUUGGAGACUGGUUGGCUUGAGUGCGGAAGAGGUAAGUGGAAUUCCCAGUGUAGCGGUGAAAUGCGUAGAGAUUGGGAGGAACACCAGUGGCGAAGGCGACUUACUGGGCCGUAACUGACGCUGAGGCGCGAAAGCGUGGGGAGCGAACAGGAUUAGAUACCCCAGUAGUCC
rnacentral:rRNA from 1 species